rnacentral:lncRNA from 1 species
AAGAACGAUCAGGUCAUACUAUUAUGAUUAUUGAUCAACAGAGACCCAUUUAUAGUUUAAAUGGCGCAUGCAACCCAAAAAGGAUUACAUACAAGAAUAAAUAAGAUUGGACAGAGAGAAAAUGGACAAAAAACCAACUUAUGCAAACAAUACAACUAAUUGAUCCAAAUUGAAUAGGGCGUUGAUCCCUGCACCUCCACCUUUUGGGACCUCCACCUCCCCAUCCCACUUUUAUCCCUUCUUUUUUUUAUUUAUAUUUAUAUUUUUUAUUUAUAUUCCUAUUAUACCCUUACGUAAAAUUUAAUUUAUAGAUUAAUUUUAAUUCUAAUCUCCUACAGUAAAAAACCUAACCUUUUUUCUCAUCUUUCGUUUCUGCUCUAUCGUUUCUGUUUGAUUGUUGGUUUUUCGAAUUUUUUUUGUGCUCUCUUUUCUUUCAUUGUGAGAAUAGUUGGCGUGGUGGAAGGAAAGUUACAAUUGUACAAAAUUCUUCUUCUCUUUCUUCGUGAUCGUGUUUGCAGCGUGGUGGUUGAUGGCCUGGUGGUGAAACGGAUGUCGAUAUUCGUCGACGGAUGUCCGUCUUCUUCCUCCUACGCACACACAAACCUCUACCAGAAACAUCAAAGCACAAAAUGAAACAAAGCAAAACAAUCGCGCACAAACAGAGCAAAAAUCAAUACAAUCUUAAACCCUAAAUCACAUACAUUUACAAACCAAGAAAUCAACACAAUCAUGCGCAACAAAAACUAACCUCUCGUAGACGGUAUAAACGAAUCAAAGCAACAACCACCGCGCCGCACUGCCGCACACACCACGCCGCACCGCCGCACACAACCGUCGGACCGCCGCACACACCAAAAGCUAACAAAGUAGAGGAAGAGAUGACUGUAAAAGUUGAAAACUUUUAGAAAAUGAAAGGCGACGCAUGUGACACCCGGGCACUGACGAGGGCGGGGAGUGAUCGCUGGUGCAAGAGGCAUGGUGUAGGGGGCACAUACAAGGAGCGACUCCUGACAGGCUUCCAGUGGAAGGGGCACAUGGACGAAUCGAACAUACACCGGAAUGAGAGGGAUCUAGAGACUGUAUAGGUAUGGGACUAUACAGUUGAAAGAUAGCUUAAAGGAAUUGAUUUGGCUACCUAUAUCACCAAAAUACAUUUGCUUUUCGGUAGCCUAACCCAUAAGAACUCCAUGGUUAAGCGUGCUUAGCCUGGAGAAAUUCUGGGAUGGGUGACCUUUCGGGAAGUUUUCCCGGAAAGUGUGCGAGUGAGGACAAAGCACACUAGAAAGUCUCGUGGUGAUGUGUGGGGGCAAUCAACAGUCCUUGUAAGUUGUCGGGGCGUUACAGAGCAUGGGGUGAGAAUGCGAAGGGAAGGGGAAGGGAAGGGGACUGGAAAGUCUCGUGGUGAUGUAUGGGGGCAGUCAACAGUCCCUGUAAGUUGUCGGGGCGUUACAGAGCAUGGGGUGAGAAUGCGAAGGGAAGGGGAAGAGAAGGGGACUGGAAAGUCUCGUGGUGAUGUAUGGGGGCAGUCAACAGUCCCUGUAAGUUGUUGGGGCGUUACAGAGCAUGGGGGUAGAAUGCAAAGGGAAGGGGAAGGGAAUGGGAGGUGGGGUUGUCUUCGAAAGUUUGUGAAAGUGAAAGCUGAAGUAGAAAGUAAAGUAAAAAUUAGGGUUAUUUAAUUAAGAGGGUUAAAAAGUAAAAAAAAAUUAAAUAAAGGUUAAUUUUGUAAUUAAGGAAAAGUUAAAAAAAAUGGGGAGGUGGAAGAUGGAAUUGGAGAAAUGGAGGGAUGAACGCCCAAUUGAAGAACCCCUCACAAGAUCUCUCCUACAAUUUUGGAUUUUCAAUCAUAAUGGACAAAGAGAAGAAAGAAACCAAAAAGCUCUAAAAAGUGAUUUCUAAAAAAAUUACCUGUUUUAAAAUAAUAAAAUUCGCUUUUAACAAAACUCUUUGUAUUACUAAUAUAAUAUACUCUUACUAUUUUU